AAGAAAGUAGCUUAAUUUAAAGCCAGGCAUUGAAGAUGCCUUUAUAGGGUUUCCCUCUUUCUUA
rnacentral:tRNA from 1 species